GAAACAGGCCUGGAGCUGCAGGGAGGGCCACCACACAAAACACAGGACCCCACUGAAAUAUAAGGAAACUGAGGCCCAGUGAGGUUAAGACGCCCAGCCAUAGUCACAUCACCAGGAAAUGGCAGAGUGAAGAAUGGAGCCCAGGUGAGUCCACAUCCACAGUCCAGCCUGGAUUCUGUGCAGCAGAAGGAACUGGCCAUUCUGAGACUGGGGUUUAGUUCUGGCUCAUCCACUAGCCACCCUGCAACCCCAGGCAGGGCCUCUCACCUCUUUGCAGCC
rnacentral:lncRNA from 1 species